UUGUAAAAUGCAGAUUCUGAGGCCCUGGAACCCUUGAAGUCUUGACUGCGGAGUCUGGGAAGAAUUCAACAAUCUGAACUUGAGUCAAGUUGCCCUGGUGAUCUGAAACCUCACUAUGAGUAGCUCCCUAAUCCCCCGUGGGCUCUGUCUGCCUUUCCUGUCAGUUGCUGACCCCAGGUAGGCGUUUCUCCUGGCUGGUAAGGGCUGGAGCAAUUCCCUUUUCCUGAAAGGACUUCUCCGCCUCCUUCUGAGGGCACAGAAGGAAUGCUCCCUCCAGCCAGGUGACGUUGGAAACAGGUAUCAGAGAGGAGCCAGGUCUCAGGACACAGGUGUGUAUGGGGCUGCUGGACCUGCAGAAGCCUGAAUUCAACACUGAGCUGCCUCACCAGCACAGAUUCCUUCCCACAACCCAGCUGCGUGAACAUGGGCACAUCAUUUUGCCUAUCUGAGCCUCAGUUUUCCUCAUCUGUAGAAUGGGUACAUGCAUAACAUCAACUUCACUGGUGAGAUCCCGUGUGUUAAGCACUUGACACAUCAUCUGGCAUCUCCAGAAGCUGAAUAAGCCAAGAAAAUGGAAUCUCCCAGAGCAUCCCAAAGGAGCCAGCCCUGCCCACACCUUGGUGAGCCCAUUGUGGCUGAGUUCAUAUUUCUGAUGUCUAGAGUCGUAAUAUGAUACAUUUAAGUUGUUUUGUAAGCCACUCAACUGCUGGUGUU